AUCGUUCAACUAAUAUUUUAGCUAUGGUUCUAAACGUGAAAUAUGUUGCAAUCUUUAUUGUUAUAGUUAUGCAUCAACCUGUUAAAUCUAAACGAGAAUGUGUUGGCCACAUGGGUUGUUGUGAUGGAUAUCAUUUUGAUAAAGAGCUCCAGAAUUGCACAAGAUGUCCAGACGGCUUUAUUGGUCCGAAGUGUGCGUCACCCUGCCCUUAUCCUGGAUAUGGAUUCAAAUGCAACUUUAAUUGCGAGUGUAGAAAAGAUUUCUGCAAUGUAACAGUGGGAUGUCCAAAG